GCGUCUAUAAGAAUGAUCAAGCUGCAAAGGAUAAUCCAAGUAAAAGUCUUCAGGAGGAAGAACCAUGUCCAAGAUUUGCCCAUCAGCUUGUAUAUGAUGAGUUACACAAGGUUCAUUAUUUAUUUGGUGGAAAUCCAGGAAAAUCUUGCUCUCCAAAGAUGAGAUUAGAUGACUUCUGGUCACUGAAGUUAUGUAGGCCUUCAAAAGAUUACUUACUGAGGCACUGCAAGUACCUGAUAAGAAAACACAGGUUUGAAGAAAAGGCCCAAAUGGACCCCCUUAGUGCUCUGAAAUAUUUACAAAACGAUCUUUAUAUAACUGUGGAUCAUUCAGACCCAGAAGAGACAAAAGAGUUUCAGCUCCUAGCUUCAGCUCUAUUCAAAUCUGGUUCAGAUUUUACAGCUCUAGGUAAGUAUUCCAGUGUAGUUUAUCCAGCUUAGAUGCCCUAGCUUUGGGGAAUUGGGUUUUGGUUUCUUUUAAAUGAAACAUCAGGUGAGAUGUUCAUCUAAACAAAUGGAGCAAGUUUCAAGGUAGCAUGCAAAACUUCUAAUAACCUGCUACAAAGUUAUUUUCCAUGCAUCAGUCACCAGUUCAUGGGUUAGUUUGCAGUUCCUAUUACACCAGUUGCUAGGUUAUUAGGCAAACAUGGCAGUAGAAGCAUGAUCAAAAUAAAUUAACUUGUAUAGCAUUGUUUUGGAAUGUAGGCUGUGAAUUACUGGUACAGUUACUAUGAGAUAACACUUCUUGUUUGAAUGAUUUUUUCUCUGCUUGUUCUUUGUGGAGUUGUGUCGGAUCAACAGAUCCGACACCAGAUCGAUUGGUGAUGGGGUAGGCAGUGAAAAAAUGUUUUGAGCUCUGAGAAAAUGCAUUAUCUCUUUCCUGAAAAUGGGAAUUUUUGUGUGCUGUUAUCUUAAUUGUUUAAGAUAGAUUCUACUUGAAACUCUGGUGUUUCUCAGACACCCCAGACAGGGGCAUCAGUUUUCAUUUAGAAAUACUCUCAUUUGGUAUUAAUGAAUUAUUAAAGUGAGCUAGACUGUAGUGAAGUGGGGAAUUCGUAGAAGUACCACAACCCAGAGCUUCAUUCAGGUCAAUUUUUAAGAAUCUUUUCAUUAGGAUAAGUCAUUAUGAUAGCUUUACUUUUUCAACAAGAUUGUAGGCUUUUGAAGUAUGGGAAUUUCCAGCUUUCCUCUUGUCAUUAUAAAAUACAGUCACACUGUGAAUGCUUAUUAAUUCCAUUGAUGCAGUGCUAUUAUUGUUUGCCUUAACAUUGAGCAGUAAUACUGAAAUUUUCCAGGAUAUGUAAUACAGAUACUACUCUUUAUCUCUGGAAUAAAAUAACAUUUUGGAAUAUCAA